GUUUUUAUAGUUUAUAUAGAACACUAUAUUUUCAUUGUAGAAGAAACCAAAUAUUUAAAAACU
rnacentral:tRNA from 1 species